rnacentral:rRNA from 1 species
UACGGGGGGGGCAAGCGUUGUUCGGAAUUACUGGGCGUAAAGGGCUCGUAGGCGGCCAACUAAGUCGGAUGUGAAAUCCCCAGGCUUAACCUGGGAAUUGCAUCCGAUACUGGAUGGCUUGAAUCCGGGAGAGGGAUGCGGAAUUCCAGGUGUAGCGGUGAAAUGCGUAGAUAUCUGGAGGAACACCGGUGGCGAAGGCGGCAGCCUGGACCGGCAUUGACGCUGAGGAGCGAAAGCCAGGGGAGCAAACGGG